GGUUAAGUGACUAAGCGUACACGGUGGAUGCCUUGGCAGUCAGAGGCGAUGAAGGACGUAAUAACUUGCGAUAAGCGUAGAUAAGGCAGUAAUAGCCACUUGAGUCUACGAUUUCCGAAUGGGGAAACCCAGUGUCAUAAGACACUAUCAUUAACUGAAUACAUAGGUUAAUGAGGCGAACUCGGGGAACUGAAACAUCUAAGUACCCGAAGGAAAAGAAAUCAAUUGAGAUUCCGAAAGUAGCGGCGAGCGAAAUUGGAUUAGCCCUUAAGCUUUUAAUGGUGCAGACGAAGACUCUGGAAAGUGUCGCAAUAAAGGGUGAUAGCCCCGUAGUCGUUCCAUCAUUUUAAGUGAAAUCGAGUAAGGCGGGACACGUGAUAUCCUGUUUGAACAUGGGGGGACCAUCCUCCAAGGCUAAAUACUACUGACUGACCGAUAGUGAACCAGUACCGUGAGGGAAAGGCGAAAAGAACCCCUGUGAGGGGAGUGAAAUAGAACCUGAAUCCGUGUACGUACAAGCAGUAGGAGCC
rnacentral:rRNA from 1 species